GUCGAACGGAAAGGCCCUGCUUGCAGGGUACUCGAGUGGCGAACGGGUGAGUAACACGUGGGUGAUCUGCCCUGCACUUCGGGAUAAGCUUGGGAAACUGGGUCUAAUACCGGAUAGGAACCAUCUUUAGUGUGGUGGUUGGAAAGUUUUUUCGGUGUAGGAUGAGCUCGCGGCCUAUCAGCUUGUUGGUGGGGUAAUGGCCUACCAAGGCGGCGACGGGUAGCCGGCCUGAGAGGGUGUACGGCCACAUUGGGACUGAGAUACGGCCCAGACUCCUACGGGAGGCAGCAGUGGGGAAUAUUGCACAAUGGGCGCAAGCCUGAUGCAGCGACGCCGCGUGGGGGAUGAAGGCCUUCGGGUUGUAAACUCCUUUCGCUAGGGACGAAGCUUUUUGUGACGGUACCUAGAUAAGAAGCACCGGCUAACUACGUGCCAGCAGCCGCGGUAAUACGUAGGGUGCGAGCGUUGUCCGGAAUUACUGGGCGUAAAGGGCUCGUAGGUGGUUCGUCGCGUCGUCUGUGAAAUUCUGGGGCUUAACUCCGGGCGUGCAGGCGAUACGGGCAUAACUUGAGUGCUGUAGGGGUAACUGGAAUUCCUGGUGUAGCGGUGAAAUGCGCAGAUAUCAGGAGGAACACCGAUGGCGAAGGCAGGUUACUGGGCAGUUACUGACGCUGAGGAGCGAAAGCAUGGGUAGCGAACAGGAUUA
rnacentral:rRNA from 1 species